AUUGAACGCUGGCGGCAGGCCUAACACAUGCAAGUCGAGCGGAAGAAGCGAGCUUGCUCCCGGAUUCGGCGGCGGAGGGGUGAGUAAUGCCUAGGAAUCUGCCUGGAAGUGGGGGAUAACGUCCUGAAACGGGCGCUAAUACCGCAUCCGACCUUAUGGCGCAAGUGGGGGAUCUUCGGACCUCACGCUAUCAGAUGAGCGUAGGUGGGAUUAGCGGGUUGGAGGGGUAAAGGCCUACCAAGGCGACGAUCCGUAACUGGUCUGAGGGGAUGAUCAGACACAUUGGAACUGAGACACGGUCCAGACUCCUACGGUGGGCAGCAGUGGGGAAUAUUGGGCGAUGGGCGAGAGCCUGAUACAGCCAUGCCGCGUGUGUGAAGAAGGUCUUCUGAUUGUAAAGCACUUUAGGCUGGAAGGAAGGACAGUAAGUUAAUCCCUGGCUGUUUUGACGUUACCGACAGAAUAAGCACCGGCUAACUUCGUG
rnacentral:rRNA from 1 species